rnacentral:rRNA from 1 species
CCUACGUGAGGCAGCAGUGAGGAAUAUUGGUCAAUGGGCGCGAGCCUGAACCAGCCAAGUCGCGUGAGGGAGGACGGCCCUACGGGUUGUAAACCUCUUUUGCCGGGGAGCAACGGGCGUCACGUGUGGCGCCACUGAGAGUACCCGGAGAAAAAGCAUCGGCUAACUACGUGCCAGCAGCCGCGGUCAUACGGAGGAUGCGAGCGUUAUACGUAUUUAUUGGGUUUGAAGGGUGCGUAGGCGGAUCGUUAAGUCAGAUGUCAAAUUGAGGGGCUCAACCCCUUCCCGCCAUUGAAACUGGCGCUCUUGAGUGGAAGAGAAGUAUGCGAAAUGCGUGGUGUAGCGGUGAAAUGCAUAGAUAUCACGCAGAACCCCGAUUGCGAAGGCAGCAUGCCGGCUUCCGACUGACGCUGAAGCACGAAAGCGUGGGGAUCGAACAGGAUUAGAUACCCGUGUAGUC